rnacentral:rRNA from 1 species
ACCCCCUACGGGACGCAGCAGUGGGGAAUAUUGCGCAAUGGGCGAAAGCCUGACGCAGCGACGCCGCGUGAGGGAUGAAGGUCUUCGGAUCGUAAACCUCUGUCAGCAGGGAAGAACGGUCACUGUGCUAAUCAGCAGUGAAUUGACGGUACCUGCAAAGGAAGCACCGGCUAACUCCGUGCCAGCAGCCGCGGUAAUACGGAGGGUGCGAGCGUUAAUCGGAAUUACUGGGCGUAAAGCGCUCGAAGGCGGUAUGUAAAGUCAAGGGUGAAAUCGCAGCGCUCAACGUGGGAGC